GUGGCUCAAUGGAUAGAGCACUGGACCUGGAAUCAGGGAGAGCCAGUUCAAAUCUGGCC
rnacentral:tRNA from 1 species